GUGUCAGCAGCCGCGGUAAGACGAACCGUGCAAACGUUGUUCGGAAUCACUGGGCUUAAAGGGCGCGUAGGCGGUCGACCAAGUCCGGGGUGAAAUCUUUCGGCUUAACCGGAAAAGUGCCUUGGAUACUGGCCGGCUGGAGGGAGGUAGGGGCAGGUGGAACUUCCAGUGGAGCGGUGAAAUGCGUUGAUAUUGGAAGGAACGCCGGUGGCGAAAGCGACCUGCUGGACCUCUUCUGACGCUGAGGCGCGAAAGCUAGGGGAGCAAACGGGAUUAGAUACCCCGGUAGUCC
rnacentral:rRNA from 1 species